GUUUCCCUGCAGAGGUUUGGUGCUGCUCAGUUGUGGCCCCCUGACAGAAGAAGAGACGGCAUCUUUCCCUCUCUGGCGCUGCUUCUGCUUCACGCAGACUGCUGAACCAGCUCGGCUCGCCUCCGGCCUUCGAUUUUGUCCCUCGGCAGGAUCCUCUCUCAGUUUCACGAGGCCUCCGAGACCGGUGACCCAGCUCGGCUCAGCUCCGGGCUGGCAGGUGUCUGAGCUCGAUGUCUCCGGCGGGAUGACGGGGCCAAAGCGGCUGCACAUUUUGACUUCCUCCUUCCAAACACAUCUUUGAAAUGUUUCACUUUUGACAGUUUUCUUUGAGGGUCAAAAUGGUUUUACUUUUAAAGAUUCUGCUGAGAACUUAAAGACACAGUAUACGGCUUCUGCCACCAGGGUUUUCUCAGUCUCAACGACAACGAAAGACCUGAAGCAGUGCGGGAUCAUGGGAGUUGGUGUCGUCAUGUCAAAUGGCCACCUGAAGUGACUCGGGCAGAAACGUUCACAGCAAAGUCAUGCAUUAAAGUUUCAUUCAUUUUACGUCACAUUCAUUGACUUCCUUCCUCACUCUCUGACAUAUCUGAUGUUUCCCUGUAAGUUAGAGCAACAGGUGACCGAAUCAAACGCACCAUUACCUUGAGUAAAAUCAUACUAUAUCAUAUUUCUCUGGAUGUUAUUGGAAACAUGUUGUUGGAAACAAUGUGAAACUGAAAGAUCAGUUUGUUUAUUCAGUCAAGAAAACAAAGAGAGUUUGUGUAUUUAGUUUGUUCAGGCAUUAAAACAAUCAGCCGAGUGGAGCUUUAAGGUGUCAAAUUGUGGCGUAUUUUAAAAUAGAAGGAAAACAAAUUCUGCAAAGUUACUAAAAUAAAAAAAAGGCAAUGAGACCAAGUCAAAUUAUCAUUAACAUUUGUCUACUUUUAAUUACAUUUAAUGCAGCGCUCUACUGAAUUAACAAAGUGCCUCUCAGUCUGGGAUCCUUGGACUGCCGACAGCCUCUGCUUAUUUUCAAACGGUGUAGUCAGCUGUUGCUCUGAUUGUCACUGGGCUACGUACACAUAAACAUACUGACCUUGGAUCAGAUGAGCCCGGGCACAUCACCCCACCCAGUUAUCUCCCAGACCUGUUGACACUGUGAUCAGAGCAGCUCAGCGCAGUUCAGACCUGCAGUGACUUCAUCCAUUCUUCCUUUAUUCUGUCUCUGCUGGGAGUUAGGCUGGAUGAGAGCAAUACCACUCUUAUAUCUGCUACCAACGAAGAAAAAGACACAGACGCUCCAACCAGUGGCACGGCUAACUGAGCUAACAGUAGCUAUGGACGUAGGAACAGAGUCCAGUUAGCAGCAGUUAGCGGUUACUCUGGUGGUAUGCUGCCCCUACUGGCUGGGAGUGUGAAUUCAGGGAGGUGGCUGAUUCUUACAUACUGCACCUUUAACGCACAGAUAUGAGUGAAAGUAUAUUUCCCAGACUGUUGUUUCUUUCAGUAAUUACAUUAAACAUUGUCAUACCU